CUACGGAAGAUGCGAGCGUUAUCCGGAUUUAUUGGGUUUAAAGGGAGCGUAGGCGGAUUGCUAAGUCUGCGGUAAAAUGUCGAUGCUCAACGUCGGCCUGCCGUGGAGACUGGCGAUCUUGAAUGUGCACAAGGAAGGUGGAAUUCGUGGUGUAGCGGUGAAAUGCUUAGAUAUCACGAAGAACUCCGAUUGCGAAGGCAUCCUUCUGAGGCAUGAUUGACGCUGAGGCUCGAAAGCGCGGGUAUCAAACAGGAUUAGAUACCCUGGUAGUCCGCGCCGUAAACGAUGAGUGCCCGUCGUUGGUGAUAUACGAUCAGCGACCAAGCGAAAGCAUUAAGCACUCCACCUGGGGAGUACGCCGGCAACGGUGAAACUCAAAUGAAUUGGCGGGG
rnacentral:rRNA from 1 species